UGGGGAAUUUUGGACAGUGGGCGAAAGCCUGAUCCAGCAAUGCCGCGUGUGUGAAGAAGGCCUUCGGGUUGUAAAGCACUUUUGUCCGGAAAGAAAUCCUUGGCUCUAAUACAGUCGGGGGAUGACGGUACCGGAAGAAUAAGCACCGGCUAACUACGUGCCAGCAGCCGCGGUAAUACGUAGGGUGCAAGCGUUAAUCGGAAUUACUGGGCGUAAAGCGUGCGCAGGCGGUUUGCUAAGACCGAUGUGAAAUCCCCGGGCUCAACCUGGGAACUGCAUUGGUGACUGGCAGGCUAGAGUAUGGCAGAGGGGGGUAGAAUUCCACGUGUAGCAGUGAAAUGCGUAGAGAUGUGGAGGAAUACCGAUGGCGAAGGCAGCCCCCUGGGCCAAUACUGACGCUCAUGCACGAAAGCGUGGGGAGCAAACAGGAUUAGAUACCCUGGUAGUCCACGCCCUAAAACGAUGUCAACUAGUUGUUGGGGAUUCAUUUCCUUAGUAACGUAGCUAACGCGUGAAGUUGACCGCCUGGGGGAGUACGGUCGCAAGAUUAAAACUCAAAUGAAUUGAC
rnacentral:rRNA from 1 species